rnacentral:rRNA from 1 species
UGCGUAGGCGGUUGGGUAAGUCAGAGGUGAAAUUCCGGGGCUCAACCUCGGAACUGCCUUUGAUACUGCCUGACUAGAGUACUGGAGAGGAGACUGGAAUUUACGGUGUAGCAGUGAAAUGCGUAGAUAUCGUAAGGAAGGCCAGUGGCGAAGGCGAGUCUCUGGACAGUAACUGACGCUGAGGCACGAAGGCUAGGGGAGCAAACG